CCGGCCAAUUCCUACUACCAACCAACUCAUCUAUCACAACUAGCACCACCACUAACUACCACUAAUACAUCAUAACCUCUACACAUUCUUUGGCUGUCACCACCAUCGUCACUAAUAAUGCCACAUCUACCACCACUUCAACGAGUACUAUCGCUACAGUUUAUCUCUACUAACAGUCAUCUCCACCAUCACAACAAAUAACAUAUCCAACUAGCAUCAACACAUUGUCAAUCAUUAUGCAUUUAUGUUUCAGCCAACAUAAUAACACCUUAAACUACUAACAUCAAACAACGUCACAUCACAACAACCACCAC
rnacentral:lncRNA from 1 species